rnacentral:rRNA from 1 species
ACGGCUCAGUAACACGUCGGUAACCUACCCUCGGGAGGGGGAUAACCCCGGGAAACUGGGGCUAAUUCCCCAUAGGCCCGAGGUACUGGAAAGUCCUCAGGCCGAAAGGGACUUAUGUCCGCCCGAGGAUGGGCCGGCGGCCGAUUAGGUAGUUGGUGGGGUAAUGGCCCACCAAGCCGAAGAUCGGUACGGGCUGUGAGAGCAGGAGCCCGGAGAUGGACACUGAGACACGGGUCCAGGCCCUACGGGGCGCAGCAGGCGCGAAACCUCCGCAAUGCGGGAAACCGCGACGGGGGGACCCCGAGUGCCGUGGCAACGCCACGGCUUUUCCGGAGUGUAAAAAGCUCCGGGAAUAAGGGCUGGGCAAGGCCGGUGGCAGCCGCCGCGGUAAUACCGGCGGCCCGAGUGGUGGCCGCUAUUAUUGGGCCUAAAGCGUCCGUAGCCGGGCCCGUAAGUCCCUGGUGAAAUCCCACGGCUCAACCGUGGGGCUUGCUGGGGAUACUGCGGGUCUUGGGACCGGGAGAGGCGGGGGGUACCCCUGGGGUAGGGGUGAAAUCCUAUAAUCCCAGGGGGACCGCCAGUGGCGAAGGCGCCCCGCUGGAACGGGUCCGACGGUGAGGGACGAAGGCCAGGGGAGCAAACCGGAUUAGAUACCCGGGUAGUCCUGGCUGUAAAGGAUGCGGGCUAGGUGUCGGGUGAGGCUCGAGCUCGCCCGGUGCCGUAGGGAAGCCGUUAAGCCCGCCGCCUGGGGAGUACGGCCGCAAGGCUGAAACUUAAAGGAAUUGGCGGGGGAG